rnacentral:lncRNA from 1 species
UUGCUUCCUCCUGGCUUCCCCGAACUACUCCCACCCCUGCUUCUGUUGGGAACUUCAUCGCCAGAUAUCUGAUACUGGUGACGGCCUCAAAGUCAAACAGCGCGGGUCUUCCUAGGAUCGCGUUGUAGCUCAGGGGGAGUUUAGCUACCAAGAACACCGCAUAGUGGGUGCGAGUCCUUGGUGCUUCUCCCAAAGUAAGGGCCAGCUUUACCUUCCCUUCCAC